rnacentral:rRNA from 1 species
AGUGAACGCUGGCGGCGUGCUUAACACAUGCAAGUCGAACGAGAACGGAAUAUAGCUUGCUAUAUUUGUCAGCUAAGUGGCGCACGGGUGGGUAAUGUAUAGAUAACCUGCCCUUAAGAAAGGAAUAACAGUUGGAAACGACUGCUAAUGCCCUAUAUGCCUUUAAUACAUAAGUAUGCAAGGGAAACGCUUUAGUGCUAGAGGAUGGGUCUGUAUGGUAUCAGCUUGUUGGUGAGGUAAUGGCUCACCAAGGCUAUGACGCCUAACUGGUUUGAGAGGAUGAUCAGUCACACUGGAACUGAGACACGGUCCAGACUCCUACGGGAGGCAGCAGUGGGGAAUAUUGCACAAUGGACGAAAGUCUGAUGCAGCAACGCCGCGUGGAGGAUGACACAUUUCGGUGCGUAAACUCCUUUUAUAUAGGAAGAUAAUGACGGUACUAUAUGAAUAAGCACCGGCUAACUCCGUGCCAGCCGCCGCGGUAAAAC